rnacentral:ncRNA from 1 species
UCAGCUGAAUUAGUGUUUGGCUAGGCGGGAAUUUAAACAUAAACACUAAGGUAUAUAUUAUGUCUUUAUCAGCUACUGAAAAAGCUGCAAUCGUUGCAGAAUACGCUCAAUCUGA